rnacentral:rRNA from 1 species
UGGGGAAUAUUGGACAAUGGGCGCAAGCCUGAUCCAGCCAUGCCGCGUGUGUGAAGAAGGCCUGCGGGUUGUAAAGCACUUUAAGUGGGAAAGAAGGCUUUCUGGUGAAUAACCAGAGGGAUUGACGUUACCCACAGAAUAAGCACCGGCUAACUCCGUGCCAGCAGCCGCGGUAAUACGGAGGGUGCGAGCGUUAAUCGGAAUUACUGGGCGUAAAGCGCGCGUAGGCGGUUCGUUAAGUCCGCUGUGAAAGCCCUGGGCUUAACCUGGGAACGGCAGAGGAUACUGGCGAGCUAGAGUAUGGUAGAGGAGAGUGGAAUUUCCGGUGUAGCAGUGAAAUGCAUAGAGAUCGGAAGGAACACCAGUGGCGAAGGCGGCUCUCUGGACCAAUACUGACGCUGAGGUGCGAAAGCGUGGGGAGCAAACAGG